AGAGUUUGAUCAUGGCUCAGAUUGAACGCUGGCGGCAGGCCUAACACAUGCAAGUCGAACGGUAACAGGAAGCAGCUUGCUGCUUCGCUGACGAGUGGCGGACGGGUGAGUAAUGUCUGGGAAGCUGCCUGAUGGAGGGGGAUAACUACUGGAAACGGUAGCUAAUACCGCAUAAUGUCGCAAGACCAAAGAGGGGGACCUUCGGGCCUCUUGCCAUCGGAUGUGCCCAGAUGGGAUUAGCUUGUUGGUGGGGUAACGGCUCACCAAGGCGACGAUCCCUAGCUGGUCUGAGAGGAUGACCAGCCACACUGGAACUGAGACACGGUCCAGACUCCUACGGGAGGCAGCAGUGGGGAAUAUUGCACAAUGGGCGCAAGCCUGAUGCAGCCAUGCCGCGUGUAUGAAGAAGGCCUUCGGGUUGUAAAGUACUUUCAGCGGGGAGGAAGGGAGUAAAGUUAAUACCUUUGCUCAUUGACGUUACCCGCAGAAGAAGCACCGGCUAACUCCGUGCCAGCAGCCGCGGUAAUACGGAGGGUGCAAGCGUUAAUCGGAAUUACUGGGCGUAAAGCGCACGCAGGCGGUUUGUUAAGUCAGAUGUGAAAUCCCCGGGCUCAACCUGGGAACUGCAUCUGAUACUGGCAAGCUUGAGUCUCGUAGAGGGGGGUAGAAUUCCAGGUGUAGCGGUGAAAUGCGUAGAGAUCUGGAGGAAUACCGGUGGCGAAGGCGGCCCCCUGGACGAAGACUGACGCUCAGGUGCGAAAGCGUGGGGGAGCAAACAGGAUUAGAUACCCUGGUAGUCCACGCCGUAAACGAUGUCGACUUGGAGGUUGUGCCCUUGAGGCGUGGCUUCCGGAGCUAACGCGUUAAGUCGACCGCCUGGGGAGUACGGCCGCAAGGUUAAAACUCAAAUGAAUUGACGGGGGCCCGCACAAGCGGUGGAGCAUGUGGUUUAAUUCGAUGCAACGCGAAGAACCUUACCUGGUCUUGACAUCCACGGAAGUUUUCAGAGAUGAGAAUGUGCCUUCGGGAACCGUGAGACAGGUGCUGCAUGGCUGUCGUCAGCUCGUGUUGUGAAAUGUUGGGUUAAGUCCCGCAACGAGCGCAACCCUUAUCCUUUGUUGCCAGCGGUCCGGCCGGGAACUCAAAGGAGACUGCCAGUGAUAAACUGGAGGAAGGUGGGGAUGACGUCAAGUCAUCAUGGCCCUUACGACCAGGGCUACACACGUGCUACAAUGGCGCAUACAAAGAGAAGCGACCUCGCGAGAGCAAGCGGACCUCAUAAAGUGCGUCGUAGUCCGGAUUGGAGUCUGCAACUCGACUCCAUGAAGUCGGAAUCGCUAGUAAUCGUGGAUCAGAAUGCCACGGUGAAUACGUUCCCGGGCCUUGUACACACCGCCCGUCACACCAUGGGAGUGGGUUGCAAAAGAAGUAGGUAGCUUAACCUUCGGGAGGGCGCUUACCACUUUGUGAUUCAUGACUGGGGUGAAGUCGUAACAAGGUAACCGUAGGGGAACCUGCGGUUGGAUCACCU
rnacentral:rRNA from 1 species